rnacentral:lncRNA from 1 species
CUGGGCCUCCAAGUGACCCUCAUUCAUCUACAGCUUCUCUUUGCCUUGGUUUUUCUGUCUGUCAGGGUGGGAAAGUGACAUUGACCCUUUUUUGGAAAGUGAUGUGACAAGCACAAAGUAUUAGACAGCUGUGGGAAGCACUGAGAGAUCUCUUGGAAUUACAGAUACAGAAACAAAGAAAGAUUUUGUCAGCUGGAUGCAAGGACUGGAAAAAAAAAGACAUUCUGACAUGCUAUUGCUGCUGAAGUACCCUCCCUGGAGAGGUCUGGUGAGGGCAUUUCUCAGUGCCCACUCUUUAUCUGAACUCCUCCGCAUGCCUCAAUCCUAAUCCAGCACAGCAGAGACUCAUCCUAUUGUGUUAAAAUCAAAUGCACUUACAGCUUGUGAAGACAUUUAGUGUCCUUGACCAUAGAACACUAGGAAAGUGCUGCUGUGGCAUUUUGUACUGCCCUGUGCAUGGGAGGGAGCAUAAAGCAGAGUUUUAUGGAAGCAAGAACAUGUGAGCUCUGUUCCAGCCCUGUUCAGGCAAAGCAGUAAUAGUGACACAAUAGGAAAAGCAUCCCGCAGCCCUCUCAGGAGUGUGCAACAGCCACAGAGACUCCAGUG